rnacentral:rRNA from 1 species
GACCUCAAAUCGGGUGAGACUACCCGCUGAACUUAAGCAUAUCAAUAAGC